CACCCCUUAAGCUCAGCUUGGUCUUGGGCUCCGCCGCUCACCCGGCGGGCCCUAAAAUCAGUGGCGGCGCCGCUGUGGCCCUGCGCAUAGUAAACCUCCUCGCUACAAGGACCCGGCGAACACUGGCCAGCAACCCUCAACCCUCUAC
rnacentral:misc_RNA from 1 species